UACGGAGGAGGCAAGCGUUAUCCGGAAUUAUUGGGCGUAAAGCGUGCGCAGGCGGUUCUAUAAGACAGAUGUGAAAUCCCCGGGCUCAACCUGGGAACUGCAUUUGUGACUGUAGAGCUGGAGUACGGUAGAGGGGGAUGGAAUUCCGCGUGUAGCAGUGAAAUGCGUAGAUAUGCGGAGGAACACCGAUGGCGAAGGCAAUCCCCUGGACCUGUGCUGACGCUCAUGCACGAAAGCGUGGGGAGCAAACAGG
rnacentral:rRNA from 1 species